UGCGCUAUCAGAUGAGCCUAGGUCGGAUUAGCUAGUUGGUGAGGUAAUGGCUCACCAAGGCGACGAUCCGUAACUGGUCUGAGAGGAUGAUCAGUCACACUGGAACUGAGACACGGUCCAGACUCCUACGGGAGGCAGCAGUGGGGAAUAUUGGACAAUGGGCGAAAGCCUGAUCCAGCCAUGCCGCGUGUGUGAAGAAGGUCUUCGGAUUGUAAAGCACUUUAAGUUGGGAGGAAGGGUUGCUGAUUAAUACUCUGCAAUUUUGACGUUACCGACAGAAUAAGCACCGGCUAACUCUGUGCCAGCAGCCGCGGUAAUACAGAGGGUGCAAGCGUUAAUCGGAAUUACUGGGCGUAAAGCGCGCGUAGGUGGUUUGUUAAGUUGGAUGUGAAAGCCCCGGGCUCAACCUGGGAACUGCAUCCAAAACUGGCAAGCUAGAGUAGGGCAGAGGGUGGUGGAAUUUCCUGUGUAGCGGUGAAAUGCGUAGAUAUAGGAAGGAACACCAGUGGCGAAGGCGACCACCUGGGCUCAUACUGA
rnacentral:rRNA from 1 species